GCGGGAGUAGCCAAGCCCGGCCAACGGCGCCAGACUUAAGAUCUGGUCUGGCAGCAGUUCGCGAGUUCGAAUCUCGCCUCCCGCACCA
rnacentral:tRNA from 2 species